AUGGACGAAAGUCUGAUGGAGCACGCCGCGUGAGUGAAGAAGGGUUUCGGCUCGUAAAACUCUGUUGUUAAAGAAGAACAUAUCUGAGAGUAACUGUUCAGGUAUUGACGGUAUUUAACCAGAAAGCCACGGCUAACUACGUGCCAGCAGCCGCGGUAAUACGUAGGUGGCAAGCGUUGUCCGGAUUUAUUGGGCGUAAAGCGAGCGCAGGCGGUUUUUUAAGUCUGAUGUGAAAGCCUUCGGCUCAACCGAAGAAGUGCAUCGGAAACUGGGAAACUUGAGUGCAGAAGAGGACAGUGGAACUCCAUGUGUAGCGGUGAAAUGCGUAGAUAUAUGGAAGAACACCAGUGGCGAAGGCGGCUGUCUGGUCUGUAACUGACGCUGAGGCUCGAAAGUAUGGGUAGCAAACAGGAUUAGAUACCCUGGUAGUCCAUACCGUAAACGAUGAAUGCUAAGUGUUGGAAGGUUUCCGCCCUUCAGUGCUGCAGCUAACGCAUUAAGCAUUCCGCCUGGGGAGUACGGCCGCAAGGCUGAAACUCAAAGGAAUUGACGGGGGCCCGCACAAGCGGUGGAGCAUGUGGUUUAAUUCCGAAGCUAC
rnacentral:rRNA from 2 species